rnacentral:misc_RNA from 1 species
UGGUUCUGGCGUCGAUGAAGAACGCAGCGAAAUGCGAUAAGUAAUGUGAAUUGCAGAAUUCAGUGAAUCAUCGAAUCUUUGAACGCAUAUUGCGCCCUUUGGUAUUCCGAAGGGCAUGCCUAUUCGAGCGUCAUUAGCUAAACUCAAGCCUGGCUUGUCAUUGGGUCUUAUCGUUGAAGAUAGGCCUGGAAGUUAAUGGCGGUGUCCUUGAGACCCUAGAUGCAGCGAGCUUUCUUAGCAUCCAUCUUUGCGGUUUGAGGGCAUCUGCCUUGCAAAGUCCGUCCUCCGGUUAAAAUCUUUUGACCGUGGGAUAGAUAUUCUCGCAGGUUGACCUCGGAUUAGGUAGGAAUACCCGCUGA